UUUCUGCGGCCAUUUCAUGAUCUGCGACCAGCAGAACGGUAACGUGAAGGAAAUGUUUUCAAUGGAACGGAUGUGAAGGCGGAAUCUGUCUUUUCUUUCGGGACUUUAGGCAAAGAGUCACUGGUUAGAAUAUACCGUUACCUCCAUAAUCUACAAUUCAACAGACUAGGGAUAAACAUCUCAUCUGGUUCACUUGGCCUGAACUCUGCAAACGACCGACCGUAAACGAGUGUCUACAAUGAAUCAGGAAACACUCUCCCUCCAACCCUCCUCCCCCCUACUCCUCCCGGAGUCCCUGGGUCGUACGUCUCCUGGUAACACCUUACUGCUGGGUCUGAAGAGGGUCUGUGCGGCUGGUCGACUGCAGGAAAACACCGGUGCUAAGGGACAGUCCUAACCGUCACUCUCUCAGUAUAAGGGGCUUGUCAACUUGGGAGGCUUAUGCUGAGGAAGCAGAGAAAAGUCUCUCCAGAUC